AAGAAGCAAUAACAAGUUAUUUGUUUAAUAAAUGAAGUAUGAAAACCACACAGCAAAAUACAUUUCAGAGCGAGGAAAGUAGUGUGUAUAAAGUGACAAUGCGACAAGGAUCUUGAGCCAUUCUGCCAAUACCACUUCUUCCCAAAGUGUUACACUUAACUUUCUCAAUUAAAGGAAAUAAUUAAAGACAUAAUAAGUAAUGAAUCCGAUCAACGACAUUGACGAGUUUUGAAACUCAUUUUUCUUAUUCUCUAACGAAAAUACUCUCUUGCACCCCCAAACAACCAAUAUUUUUGUAAUACUCAGUAUCCUCCAUUUGUUUUCUUCUGCAAAAGAAAAUUUCAAGAAGAACAAAAAUCAGAUAAAACAUAAAACAACAUGAACAAGAAAGAGAGAGAGGAACUGAUUUUGGUAAAUAAGAAGAAGAAUGGUGUGUAAAUGAUCGGUAAAAACACAUAUUUGCUUCUUCUUGUUUAUUUCACCUUUUGUGGAUUUU
rnacentral:lncRNA from 1 species